rnacentral:rRNA from 1 species
CCCUUAGAGUUUGAUCCUGGCUCAGGAUGAACGCUAGCGACAGGCCUAACACAUGCAAGUCGAGGGGCAGCACGGAAAUAGCAAUAUGACUGGUGGCGACCGGCGCACGGGUGAGUAACACGUAUGCAACCUACCUGUAAGCGGGGAAUAACCCGGAGAAAUUCGGACUAAUACCGCAUAAUACUGCGAUACUGCAUGGUAUUGCAUUUAAACAUUUAUGGCUUACAGAUGGGCAUGCGUAUGAUUAGAUAGUUGGUGAGGUAACGGCUCACCAAGUCAACGAUCAUUAGGGGUUCUGAGAGGAAGGUCCCCCACACUGGUACUGAGACACGGACCAGACUCCUACGGGAGGCAGCAGUGAGGAAUAUUGGUCAAUGGGCGAGAGCCUGAACCAGCCAAGUCGCGUGAAGGAAGAAGGUUCUAUGGAUUGUAAACUUCUUUUGUAAGGGAAUAAAAAGAGUUACGUGUAACUUAUUGUAUGUACUUUACGAAUAAGGAUCGGCUAACUCCGUGCCAGCAGCCGCGGUAAUACGGAGGAUCCAAGCGUUAUCCGGAUUUAUUGGGUUUAAAGGGUGCGUAGGCGGACGUUUAAGUCAGUGGUGAAAGUUUGCAGCUCAACUGUAGCAUUGCCAUUGAUACUGAUUUUCUUGAGUUUGAUUGAGGUAGGCGGAAUGUGUUGUGUAGCGGUGAAAUGCUUAGAUAUAACACAGAACACCAAUUGCGAAGGCAGCUUACUGGGAUACAACUGACGCUGAGGCACGAAAGCGUGGGGAUCAAACAGGAUUAGAUACCCUGGUAGUCCACGCCCUAAACGAUGAACGCUAGUCGUUACAAAGCUAGUCUUUGUAGUGACGCAGCUAACGCAUUAAGCGUUCCGCCUGGGGAGUACGGUCGCAAGAUUAAAACUCAAAGGAAUAGACGGGGACCCGCACAAGCGGUGGAGCAUGUGGUUUAAUUCGAAGAUACGCGAAGAACCUUACCAAGGCUUGACAUGUAAAGAAUCUUGCAGAAAUGUGAGAGUACUAGCUUGCUAGAACUUUAACACAGGUGCUGCAUGGCUGUCGUCAGCUCGUGCCGUGAGGUGUCGGCUUAAGUGCCAUAACGAGCGCAACCCUUAUCAUUAGUUACUAACAGGUUAAGCUGAGGACUCUAAUGAGACUGCCACCGUAAGGUGUGAGGAAGGUGGGGAUGACGUCAAAUCAGCACGGCCCUUACGUCCGGGGCGACACACGUGUUACAAUGGGGGGUACAGAGGGUCGCUACCACGCGAGUGGAUGCUAAUCUCAUAAAGCCUCUCUCAGUUCGGAUCGGAGUCUGCAACUCGACUCCGUGAAGCUGGAUUCGCUAGUAAUCGCGCAUCAGCCAUGGCGCGGUGAAUACGUUCCCGGGCCUUGUACACACCGCCCGUCAAGCCAUGGAAGCUGGGGGGACCUGAAGUACGUAACCGCAAGGAGCGUCCUAGGGUAAAACUAGUAACUGGGGCUAAGUCGUAACAAGGUAACCAAGGGC